CUAUUAUUUUGAGCGUUAAUUUUUUUUUACCUGGGUAUUAAUAGUUAAGUUCUUUAAACCCAAAGAAUUUGGCGGUAUUUCAUUCCAUUCAGAGGAACCUAUCUUGUAAUUGAUAGUACACGAUUUACUUUACUUAAUUUAUUUGUUUGUAUAUCUCCGUUAUCAGGAAAUCUUUUUGGAGUUAUAAUUUUCUUGUUUUUUUAUUAAAAUUUAUUUCAGGUCAAGGUGCAGCUUAUAAUUAAGGUUUUGACGGGUUACAAUAAUUUCAUAUUAUUAUGGAUUUUUUCUUGGAAUAUUUUAAUGAAGGUGGAUUUGAAAGUAAUUUAAUUUAUUUAAUUUAAUUGAUAUUGGCUCUGAAGUGUGUACACAUCGCCCC
rnacentral:rRNA from 1 species